AGGCUGCAACUCGCCUGCAUGAAGUCGGAAUUGCUAGUAAUCGCGGAUCAGCAUGCCGCGGUGAAUACGUUCCCGGGCCUUGUACACACCGCCCGUCACACCAUGGGAGUCGGUAACACCCGAAGCCGAUAGUCUAACGAAAGAGGACGUCGUCGAAGGUGGGAUUGAUGACUGGGGUGAAGUCGUAACAAGGUAGC
rnacentral:rRNA from 1 species